AGCACUUGAGUUUAAAAGAAGUUGGUAGAAUUUUUAGAGUAAGGGUGAAAUCUGCAUAAUUUAAAAGGAAUAUCGGUAGCGGAGGCGACCUUCUAUUUUAAGACUGACGUCGAAAAGCAAAAAUAUGGGUAUCAAAAAGGAUUAGAUACCCUUUUAGUCCAUAUUGUCAAAUCUGAAUGCUAAUUUUUUAUAAACAAAGAUUUAGAGAAAGUAAAGUAAACACGUUAAGCAUUUCGCCUGGGGAGUACGAUUGCAAGAUUAAAACUCAAAGGAAUUGACGGGAGCUUACACAAGUGGUGGAGUAUGUGGUUUAAUGCGAUAGUCCGCGCAAAACCUUACCAG
rnacentral:rRNA from 1 species